UACGUAGGGUGCAAGCGUUAAUCGGAAUUACUGGGCGUAAAGCGUGCGCAGGCGGUUAUGUAAGACAGGUGUGAAAUCCCAGGGCUUAACCUUGGAACUGCAUUUGUGACUGCAUAGCUAGAGUACGGUAGAGGGGGAUGGAAUUCCGCGUGUAGCAGUGAAAUGCGUAGAGAUCCGGAGGAACACCGACGGCGUAGGCAGCGCCCUGGACGACACCUGACGCUGAGGCACGAAAGCUGGGGGAGCGAACAGG
rnacentral:rRNA from 1 species